rnacentral:ncRNA from 2 species
CACAUCUUGUCGGGGUGCCUGGAGUAACAGGCUGAGACCACAACAGUGGGGCCCGUAGAACCUGAUCUGGUUAGUACCAGCGUAGGAAACAAGUAGUUCAUCAAA